rnacentral:sRNA from 1 species
AUGAUACAUUUAAAAUAUGUAUUAAAAAAAGAACAAAAUAAGAACCCCAAAACAGAGCAAAACAAAAGGCAAACAGGGUUGUAGUUCUGCAUGGUUUUAAUUCCAGCAGACAGAUCUCUGAGUUCAAGGCCAGCCUGGUCUACAGAGAGAGUUUCAGGACAGCCAGGGCUAACCCUGUUUCGAAAAAAUAAAAUAAAACAAAAAACGUAUUUAUUUAAUUUUAUUUGUAUGCUUGGUUGUCCACAUGUUGGGCGUCAUGUUCACACAGUGCCUGAGGAGAGCAGAAGGGGCAUUAGGUCCCUCCAGAACUGGACUUACAGAUGACAGUGGAGUGGAAACUGAACUAGCUCCUUUGCAAUAGCAACAUGUGCUCUUAACUACUGCGCCUCAUCUGUUUGUUUGAGGCAGUCUUGCUAUGUUCUCCAAGACAGCCUAGACUUUGCUUUGUAGCCCAGGCCAACCUCAAACUUGUCUUCUCCUACCUUGGCCUCUUACGUGCUGAGGUCGAAGCCAUGUGGUACCACACUCAGCAUGUUAGCCAUAACUUGGGCAAUGUUUCUCAUAUUUCAACAACUGCUGCCUUCUUGUUUGUCUUUUAAAUUUGGAUGUUUGUUUUCGUGUACAUUUGUGAGCAAUACAUCAUCUCGGGUCGUGUUUUAGAAGCCGAGGGAAUCUUAAUCAGCGUAAUCACUCAAGCUUCUCGUUUUGUGCUGAGCCCCAGCUGAGCAGUGUGUGGCGGCACGAUCCUGGAGAUGUACAAAUUGGCAAUAGAAGAGGGGCUUGAUGGAUGUCCUCGCCGGUCCUUUAUCUCCCAUGACAUUUAAAGGCAGCAUGAUGUCCUGUCCUGAGCAAGACGAGGAGCAAGGGCUGGGUCUCCCGCUGCUGAUCCCAGACGGUUACUCGGCACCUGUGGAUUUCAGACAAGUUCUCCCAUCACCCUGGAGCUUGGCAUUUUGGUUAGACAGACCCUCCAGCAAGCCCCCAGGAUCCACUGUUUCUACCAUCACCCCUGGGGUUGAGCAGUCCAAUCCUCUAACAAACACCAAACACGGAUGAGCGGCUGCAGUCCAGUCCCCUCGGUCAUCACCACUCAUGAAUCAGCAAGGGCGGUUCUAUCAGGAAGAAAUCGCCAGGCUCCACCAAUCAGCCUGGAUCCGAGGAAGCAUCAAGAAGCCGCCAGAAUAUUAGAGCUCUUUGUCGAGUUACUCUCUACGAAGUCAUGACAGCCAAAGAUCAGCAACGAGACAUGAGGCAAAUCGAGGCAAAUCAAUACAAGAGUGUCCUCCACAAAGACUAGCGGGACAGAGCAAGGCAAACCAAAGCCAGAGCCUCCUCCUUCUGGCUGUGCGAUCAGACUUCUGUUCUCUAAACAUCACAUGCCCUCUCAUGUGUCUGCUUCAGCAAAACAUUCUUUCGUGCGUCUGCUUUAACAUUAUUUUACAUGUUCGCUUCAGCAAAACAUCCUUUCACCUGUCUGACCUAGAAAAACAUCAUAUGACAUAACUGAGUUUCUAAAGAAACCAGAAAAUUUCCACUUCAGAAAGGCCCAUGUCAGAUAAGGUAGAAGGUGGGGAUUGAUCCCAGAGGUUGUUCUCUGACCACCAUAUGUUGUGGGUUGCAUAUGUGCUGGACCCACACACAUAAACUCACAUAUGAACACAUGUACACAUACA